rnacentral:rRNA from 1 species
UGGGGAAUUUUGGACAAUGGGCGAAAGCCUGAUCCAGCAAUGCCGCGUGUGUGAAGAAGGCCUUCGGGUUGUAAAGCACUUUUGUCCGGAAAGAAAUCCUUGGCUCUAAUACAGUCGGGGGAUGACGGUACCGGAAGAAUAAGCACCGGCUAACUACGUGCCAGCAGCCGCGGUAAUACGUAGGGUGCAAGCGUUAAUCGGAAUUACUGGGCGUAAAGCGUGCGCAGGCGGUUUGCUAAGACCGAUGUGAAAUCCCCGGGCUCAACCUGGGAACUGCAUUGGUGACUGGCAGGCUAGAGUAUGGCAGAGGGGGGUAGAAUUCCACGUGUAGCAGUGAAAUGCGUAGAGAUGUGGAGGAAUACCGAUGGCGAAGGCAGCCCCCUGGGCCAAUACUGACGCUCAUGCACGAAAGCGUGGGGAGCAAACAGGAUUAGAUACCCUGGUAGUCCACGCCCUAAACGAUGUCAACUAGUUGUUGGGGGACUUCAUUUUCCUUAGUAACGUAGCUAACGCGUGAAGUUGACCGCCUGGGGAGUACGGUCGCAAGAUUAAAACUUAAAUGAAUUGACGGGGUCAUAGCUGUUUCCU